rnacentral:pre_miRNA from 1 species
GUUCUACUCCCUCCGUUCCGAAUUACUUGUCUUAGAUUUGUCUAGAUACGGAUGUAUCUAGACUCAUUUUAGUGCUAGAUACAUCCAUAUCUAGACAAAUCCAAGACAAGUAAUUUGAAACGGAGGGAGUAGUAG